ACCUGUAACCAGAAGGCGCACAUAAUUCAGGCAGGCACACGUACACAUAGGUCAAAAUGUCUAAAAGUCUUUAAACAGUUCAGGAGUGGUGGCACACACUUGGAAUCCCAGCUCCUGGGGUGUGGAGGCAGAAAGAUGAUAAGAGUUUGAAGAUAGACCUGGCUCUUUAAUGAGUUUGAAGCUACCUGGGGCAAUGUGAGACCCAAUCUCAGCAAAAUAUAAAGAAAAAGAAUCAUAGAUCAGAGCCAGGGGCAAUGAUAAAUUCCUCAGUCCUGGCUAUAACCAAGGAGGUUGAGAAUGUUAGGCCAGCCUGAGCAUUCUGCAAGACCUAGUCUAAAAAUACAGGCCAUCUCAUUUUAUCUUUUUCUUAGUUUUGAAAUACUAAAUACUGUGGCCAGGCAUGGUGUCAUAUACCUUUAAUCCCAGUACUUGGGAGGCAGAGGCAGGUGGACUUCUGUUAGUUUGAGGCCUGCCCGGUCUACAAAGUGAGUUCCGGCCAACAAGGCCUACAUAGUGAGACUUGUCUCAAAACAACACAGUAAAGAAAAUGACUUUGUCUUCAGAUUUAAAGUAUAUGGCAGCUUGAAGGUGUUAAGUCAGUCCAUCAAAGAUUUAACCUGCCUGUGCCUUCCUUCAGGUGAAGAGCCUUUUUCCUAUGGUUAUGGAGGCACAGGGAAGAAGUCUACCAAUAGCCGCUUUGAAAACUACGGAGACAAAUUUGCUGAGAACGAUGUGAUUGGCUGCUUUGCGGUGAGUGCUGGCAGCCUGUGGGAAUUGGCAGGCCAGGUGCCUGACUGUAGACUUUUUUAGGAUACCUGUAUCCUUUGUCUACGUUCAUUCAGCCACUAUCUCCAUGUGUUAUUGUCUCUUCUAUAGGUUGAUAGUGUCUCCUCCAGACUAGGGAUUACUGAUUCGUGUGAGAUUCUGCCAUCCUUGUCAUUAUGUAGAACUGACUGAUGGUAUCAUGAAAAUUUGGGGACUUAAGUCUACACAACUCCCUGUCUGUGGUUGCCACAGUGACUUUUCUAAUCAAACUUAGGAAACAACCACUGUGCUUUCAAAAGGCAUUGUGUUAGCUUUUGGCCCCCAUUGGCCACCUUAUCUUCCAAACUUUUUUUUUUUAACCUGACCGUAGUUGAGCUGACAUCCCAUCGUGCACUGCCUUCUAGACUAGCAGAAGCCUAAGGUAGAGGGGGCCUGUGCUGCCGCAUUAGUUCUGUAGAACAGUGAGCAGCAAUCACUGGCUCUGGGGCCAGACUUGCUGAGCUCAGUUCUUGCUCUGAGGCUCACAGCCCCAGACAACUUCCCUGUCAGGCUCCUUUAUACCUCGCCCUUACCUCUUUUGUUCUCACCCUUUACAAGCACUUAGAAUGUUAGGUGGCACAUAGUAGCACCCCUUCGUACAGUUAGUGUUGGUGAUUACAAUCAGCCAUGCAGACUGUCAUGAGGUCCAAGGGAUUCAUCCUCGGGCUCUUCUCUUCUGCCCCUACUUGUUCACAUAACUCCUUUUUUAAAAGUUCCUUUUUUUUUUUUAACUUGGAAAAUGACUUCAAACUUGAGACACUGGGGGAGCAGCUCAGCUGAUAGAGUGCUUGUUGAGUACACAGUGCCCUGGGUUUGGUCUUUGUUGUCACAUGAGACUGGCUACAGAGACAACUAUAAGCCUAACUCUCAGAAAGUAGAGACAGGAGGGUCGGAACUUCAAGGACAUUCUCGGUUACAUAGUUUAAGAUUAGCCUAGGCUAUGUGAAACUCAAAAAAACAAAUCAAUAAAAUUUUUUUAAAAGAAAGUAGCAACACAAAGGACCACACCAACCCCUCAAAAAAACUUUAGAAAAAUAAGAAUAAAGAAUCUUCAGUACCUUUACCACAUUUGCUUCGUGUGUGUGUGUGUGUGUGUGUGUGUGUGUGUGUGUGUGUGUGUGUGUGUUUCUUUUUUAUAUUUGGCUCAUUUAAGAGAAGACUAUAUUAUCUCCUAUCCCUGAUAUUUCAUAUAUAUAUAUGUAUUUGUGUAUAUAUAUUUAUAUAUAUGCCUACCAUCUUAGAGUAUGUUUAUCAUAUGAGAUUGGUACACCACUGCCAUAUAUGUAGCUUCCAUCAACUCACAUUUAAGUAUGUCAGUUGUCCUAGUAAUUGAGUUUUGAUUCUGGAGCUGGCCAGGAAUAUGAUGUUUUGUGUUGUCCUGUCUUGGUCUUAUAGUCUGAAACAGAUUCCUGGCCUUCCUGUUUAUUUUAUGACCUUUGUAUGUGUGAGUAAAUGGGGCACUGGUCUGGAACUCAUUUAUGAUGGGGGUGGG
rnacentral:lncRNA from 1 species